rnacentral:rRNA from 1 species
UACGGAGGAUCCGAGCGUUAUCCGGAUUUAUUGGGUUUAAAGGGUGCGUAGGCGGAAUAAUAAGUCAGUUGUGAAAGUUUGCGGCUCAACCGUAAAAUUGCAGUUGAUACUGUAAGGCUAGGAUAUGGUUGCUGUGGGUGGAAUGUGUGGUGUAGCGGUGAAAUGCUUAGAUAUCACGAAGAACUCCAAUUGCGAAGGCAGCUUACCGGGGUACAACUGACGCUGAGGCACGAAAGUGUGGGUAUCAAAC